rnacentral:rRNA from 1 species
UUAAGCCUGCUGUCUCAGUAUAAGCUUCUAUACGGCGAAACUGCGAAUGGCUCAUUAAAACAGUUAUAGUUUAUUUGGUGGUCAGCAAUUACAUGGAUAACCGUGGUAAUUCUAGAGCUAAUACAUGCGUCCAAACCCGACUUCGUGGAAGGGUUGUGUUUAUUAGAUACAGAACCAACCCAGGCUCCGCCUGGCCUUGAGGUGAUUCAUAAUAACCGAACGAAUCGCAUGGCUAUGCCGGCGAUAGACCAUUCAAGUUUCUGACCUAUCAGCUAUCGUCGGUAGGGUAUUGGCCUACCGUGGCAAUGACGGGUAACGGAGAAUUAGGGUUCGAUUCCGGAGAGGGAGCCUGAGAAACGGCUACCACAUCUAAGGAAGGCAGCAGGCGCGCAAAUUACCCAAUCCUGACGCAGGGAGGUAGUGACAAGAAAUAACAAUACAGGGCAUACAUGUCUUGUAAUUGGAAUGAGUAAACUUUAAAUCACUUUACGAGUAUCAAUUGGAGGG